GACGAACGCUGGCGGCGUGCUUAACACAUGCAAGUCGAACGGUAAGGCCCUUCGGGGUACACGAGUGGCGAACGGGUGAGUAACACGUGGGUGAUCUGCCCUGCACUUCGGGAUAAGCCUGGGAAACUGGGUCUAAUACCGGAUAGGACUCCGGACUGCAUGGUCGGGGGUGGAAAGCUUUUGCGGUGUGGGAUGGGCCCGCGGCCUAUCAGCUUGUUGGUGGGGUGAUGGCCUACCAAGGCCACGACGGGUAGCCGGCCUGAGAGGGUGACCGGCCACACUGGGACAGAGAUACGGCCCAGACUCCUACGGGAGGCAGCAGUGGGGAAUAUUGCACAAUGGGCGCAAGCCUGAUGCAGCGACGCCGCGUGAGGGAUGACGGCCUUCGGGUUGUAAACCUCUUUCAGCAUCGACGAAGCGAAAGUGACGGUAGGUGCAGAAGAGGGACCGGCCAACUACGUGCCAGCCGCCGCGGUAA
rnacentral:rRNA from 1 species